rnacentral:lncRNA from 1 species
GGCUAUGUGAGAGAUGGGAAACAGAUCUGGGACCAGGCUAGACGAGGCUAUGUGAGAGAUGGAAACAGAUCUGGGACCAGGCUAGAUGAGGCUAUGUGAGAGAUGGGAACAGAUCUGGGACCAGGCUAGACGAGGCUAUGUGAGAGAUGGAAACAGAUCUGGGACCAGGCUAGAUGAGGCUAUGUGAGAGAUGGGAACAGAUCUGGGACCAGGCUAGACGAGGCUAUGUGAGAGAUGGGAACAGAUCUGGGACCAGGCUAGAUGAGGCUAUGUGAGAGAUGGAAACAGAUCUGGGACCAGGCUAGAUGAGGCUAUGUGAGAG